GCGACAGACUGACCUGUCCAGGUGACCCCGCCGCUCCCCAGGAACGUAGCUGCAGCUCCUCCCGACCCCACUAGAGACAAGGUGUUGGAAAACGGACGGAUGUUUCCAUUCCAUUCGGGUCGAUCCCGACAGCAGCCAUUUUGUUUUCCUAUAUUUCUCUUGCUCGUUGGUCCAGCGUCCCUGACGGCUCCUCUGGCGCUCUGACUGCAGAACCUGGUGUGGCGGUUCUGCAUGUGGCUGAACUGCAGCCGGUCGGACCUGCAGCCGCAGUGGCAGAGCAGACAAACCUGCAGCUUUAAAAUGAAAGACAAAUAAACACCAUAAAAUCACCUGAACACCGACGCAGGAGUGAUCUGAGCUCAAACCCGUCUGAGGGGAUCUGACAGCUUGCAGACAGGAAGCUCAGAGUUUAACGUUCAACAAGCAGAGGAAAAACAACAAAACUCAUUCUGCAAAACAGAAAGUUUGAGGUUUUUCUCUGAUGCUGCCUCCAGUGUUUCCGUAUCAUUAGCAUCCCGAUGGCUUUCAUUCCUGCUGGGAUCUGAGGCUCUUCUGCUGCUUUCAAAUCUUCUGUUAGCUCAACGUUCUUCUGGAACGUUAGCCGGUUUAGUCCGUUCCAGAACCAGUUUGGAUCAUUUUCCAGCUGGAUCGCCCAACUGGGAUCCAAACAUCCAACAUACUGGUUUAAUGAAUCCAGACGUCUCAAUGGGACUGUCAAUGGAAGCCCCACAGCAUGAUGCAGCCACCGCCAUGCUUGAUAGAUUAGAUGUAAAUACAUGUGAAGGAAGAAAGGGGAACGGUUCAGAUUUAUUAUUCUGGACUGAAUGAUUCGACUUUAUUACUGCAGAACUGAGUUAUAAUUACACACAUUAAUAAAUAUUAAAGGCUAGUUUUAGCUAACAACUUGAACUCGUUAACUGUUUUCAGAAAACCAGAAUUUCACCUCAAGCAAACAGAAAAACUUUUCCUGUGACACUGAGGGAGUUACGUGAAGUGAUUUUUCCACUGAUGUUCUCUGAGGCGACGGAAACACGGCUGGAGAUUCGAAGCGAGCGUGCAUGUGGCGACAGCGGAGAGGAAAACUCUCCUUGAACAGGAAGGAAGCUGCAGCAGAACCAGAGCAGAGGAGCUUCUGCGUCUCCUUCAGCGGCUCAUCCAGGAGGGAGGCUGAAGGUUUGGGGUCAAAGGUCAAGGCAGAUCUAUCAGAAUCAAUCGGAGGUUAAAUCUCUUCAUUUUAUUCGUUUGCAGCUAAUAAACGUCACGUCUGAAGUCUGAAUGAAGAAAGAUCAGCGGAGCAGAAAACGGAUCUGUUCUGGUUUUCAUUUGUUCAGUUCUUUUUUUAAUCUCUUCUCAA